CGGCGCACGCGCGGAGGCCCGGCGGCGGCCAUGGCGUCGGGGUGCCGGAUCGGGCCGUCCAUCCUCAACAGCGACCUGGCGGCGCUGGGCGCCGAGUGCAGCCGCAUGCUGGACUGCGGGGCUGAUUACCUGCACCUGGAUGUAAUGGACGGGCACUUCGUGCCGAACAUCACCUUCGGGCACCCCGUGGUGGAGAGCCUGCGCAAGCGGCUGGGCCGGGAGCCCUUCUUCGACGUGCACAUGAUGGUGGCCCGGCCCGAGCAGUGGGUGCAGCCCAUGGCCGUGGCUGGCGCCAACCAGUACACCUUCCACCUGGAGGCCACCGACGGCCCCGGCGCGCUCAUUAAGGACAUCCGCGAGAACGGCAUGAAGGUGGGGCUGGCCAUCAAACCCGGCACCGCGGUGGAGCAGCUGGCGCCGUUGGCCAACCAGAUCGACGUGGCCCUGGUGAUGACGGUGGAGCCGGGCUUCGGAGGGCAGAAGUUCAUGGAGGACAUGAUGCCGAAGGUGCAGUGGCUGAGGACGCAGUUCCCGUCGCUGGACAUCGAGGUGGACGGAGGAGUCGGGCCUGACACCAUCCACAAGUGUGCCGAGCUGCUCAGAUGUUCCUGACACUGAUUGAGAUUUGGAAUUAGAUAAACAGCUAUUGUUCCAUCGUUUGAGAGCAACAUUAUGAUGGUUAUAGUCUACAACAGAAAAAGCAAAUAUCAAGUGAACUUAUUCUCCAUGGCUGCAGUUCCAGGCAAUGCUGGUGAACUAUUUACAGCGGAAAAGGCAAACUUCAGGAAGACUACUGUAGCUACGGACAGAAUGACUAAAAUCUUCCAACGACCUCAAAACCACUGCCUUCUAAAAUCGCCCCAGAAGAAAGGCAGGUUAUUUGAUUUUCUAAAUGGAUGGACUCAGAGCUCCAGAGCCACUACUUCUAUGCAUACAAGGAUGCAGCAGACACAACAGAGAAGGCCAGGAAACCUGCCCUUGGGACCCAUGCCAUCUUAAAGUCUGAUUCUGGGCAUGUUGGAGUAAAUCCCAUCAAGUGAGGUCGAAUAUAUUCUGAAAUAACACUUGCAUCCCUCGAAUGAAAACAGAAGGUAACAUAGAGCAAGUUUUUCUAUGAUUCCCUGCACACAAUUCUCCUCCCACAUGCAGUGAGGGGAGCCAAGAAUCCAGGGAAUGGAAUUCAUGAAAAAGCAAUGCCUAAAACUUGUUAAAAUCAGCACCUAUGAAUUCACACGUCUUUAAAGGUCGUCACACUAAUCUUUUAUGCAAAUAAGACAUUUCCCUUACUCAUAUAACAAAAAGGUCUUAAAAACUAGAAACAGUUAGGGUUUUGUGGCUAAGAGCAAUGGAGAACAGCACUGCUGGCAGACUCUCUUCCUCCCUUUCUCAAAACCUGAAUUCGGUUCUCUUAUCAGCUUUGAAAUGAAAUUACAGCUCAGAGUGGAAAAUUAGGACUUCUUGCAAAAACGAACAGUUUCUCCUCAUAAUGUGGCUGAAAGAUGGGCAAAAAGCCCCAGCCCCCAAGCAGUGCCUUCUGUUGUGAGGCCUGCAGAACUGCACUGACAUUGCUCAAUUAGCCAUGAGAAAAACUGCUAGGAAAACUGGAAAAUAAUCUAGAACAAACAGAUCCGAACUGCAGAUACUAAUCAUAAUAUUUUCUUCCUUCUUCUAUUCUCUCCGCCUUAUUGCUUCCCUCCCUGCCAAGUAUUUAUACUAAAAGCAGAUUUCUAAUCUUUCUCUUCCCAACUAGAAAUCUAAGGGAGAAAAAAAAGACUAAGUCUUUUUUUUUUUCCCUUCAUAUCUCUUCACAUUCAUUAUAAAAGAUUCCAGGCACAAUAAAGCCCACGGGCAUGGAAAAAUACAGCAGCGCUUCAAAUACUACUUCGUCAGGCAUGAGGUUGCUGGAAGAUAAUCAGUAAAAUGUGUCUUUCAAAGUUCAGAGGAAAAGCAUGAAAAUAUUUCUGAAGGAAAAAAUCCCACCAAGUGAUGCAAAAGGGUUUCAUUCAGAUGGGGGAAGGAGGAUUGGAGAAACAGGGCCCAGGACUUGUCGCAAGUAGGCAGAUAGCAACUUGUUUUGCACACAAGUUCUGUUGUAAGAAGCCUUUCUCUCUAAUCAAUUAGGUACAGACGUUGCUAUUUGAUGAAGUGAGCAGCUGUGUCUUUAAAGAAAGCCAGUGAUAGAUCUUCUGAUUUUGGAAGAUCACUCAGUGCAUUUGGAAGGAAAAAAAAAAAACAACAGUCAGUACUGUGAAAGUGUAAAAGUUUCCCAAAUAACCACAUCUGGCUUUUUUGUGGUAUGUUGUGAACAGUCAGAACCUCUAGGCACAUCAGGAACGCACAGGAAAUACAAUAAGGAUGCAAGGCUGCCCCAGAAAGAAAUGUUACCUAGCUCCCUGAGCAGAGGUGUGCUGUUGAAAAUACUUGAAGUUGACAUCCCCCCAAAAGUCAUCCCAUUUGACAUUAUUUCUACAGGUAAUCUUUCAUCUUCAUGAACCUCAAAGGAAGACCAAGCAGUUCCAACUGGAAUGCAGUGUUGUCUGCACUGCACUUCAGGUGAUGCAUGUGGGCAGUGAAUUCCCAAGGGAACUGCUGACACCCAGCUCUGUGACAUCUCAGUGGGUCCUGCAUUCACUUUGGUACUUUGGUUAUCAUACCUAACACAGAGACAGUGACUGGCACCUGAGUUCUGUCUUAAUUAAAGCAGGAAGAAGUACCACCAUAUAUCUUCAACAUAGCAUCUCGAGGGACUUCUCACCCUCGAGGAAGGAAUGGUACAAGAAAAUACUAGAGGAUGCUUAUGAAAGUUUGCUACACUGCCAAAGAAACCUUUCACAAAAGCUGUGAUGAGCUGAAGACAUUGCUGAGCUGUACACCAGAAGCAAGAUGUCAGAACUCCUGCAAUGAGCCAACCAUUCCUUCACGCUUCUCCUUGACAAAUACUCAAAGAACAAAUGUGUUUUGAUGAAGAAAUGGAACAGGGCUUUUCGAUUACUCUAGAAAUCAGAGCACAGUGACUCGCCAACCAAAACAGCUCUCUGCCCAUGAGCACACUGAAGAUCCCUAGUCUGAGGACAGCACCUGUGUAAUGCACAGGGGAUGAACAAUGGUGUAAGUAUCCUGUAACAGCUAUUUGCAACUGAACAACAUGGGUACUGAAAUAGAUGGAUAAAGAGAAUCUGACUUGAGUCACAGAGCAUUGAGAUACAGCUCAGAAGAGCUUAUGUCAACACUCACUGGACAAAACUCUUUCCAGGAUAAUGGGAAUGAACGUGUUCAAAGAGCUAAAAGUAGCUCCAGAUUUUUUUCUUAUCGUGAAAAACUGGGGCUGGAAUCAGAUCUUCCCCCUCCUGUAAUGGAAGCAGGCUGGGCUCAGAUAAACCUAUGAAUGGGAAGCUCCUCCCCCCUUGCACACUGGGUUGAUGUAGCAAGCUACGAAGGAUGCAGCUAAGGCCAGCCACUUGCACGUUCAUUUCCUCGAGUUAAGUGCAAUCCAUAUUUUGUGAUACAGGUGGAACCCAAAGAUUUUCCCCAUUCACAGUGCACUAGUAGGGCCUUUUAACAUCUAGAAUAUUACGGGAGGAGGAGUGCUUCCACAACAGUGAAAGUCUUCACUAUGAGAAAUAACAGUGCAAAGCGAGGAAAUGAGCAUUCUCUCACCAUAUAAUCACAUUAUUUCUGGAAAGCACUAAGAACCAAUUCCCUGGGAGAGAAAAGCAUUUCAAAGCAACAUAAAUCCACUUAGCAAAAAUAAAAAUGGAAGCUAACUUUGUUUUGUUUUCUUGUCCAGCUGAAAGGCAAUCUAGAGAAUCUUAAAGAGGUAAUGCAGAAAUAAAAGCAAAUCUCAGCAGCCGCCCAGCUGAACAACUGACAGACCUUUGCCACCCAAAGGAAGUGCAGUCUCUAGCCACUAAGACAAAUCUUUCGGAAGAUGGAGAACAAAGAAAGCCAUCCCAAGCAUAAGAUAGUGAUAAGUUCAGAUGAGAUACAGCCCAUCCCCAGUGCAGUGUUAAUUCAGGCACUGACUCAACCUAUGCACACAGACAAAAGUCUCCAGCUUAAAUUAGGUGGUGCUUUAACUCUGCACUUGCUGGUCCAGCAGCACAGUUCAAACGCAGUGACUUUCAUGCUGGCAAGGCAGCAAAGCCUCUGCUAACACACACUACCAACAAGCCAUCGCUGCUGCUUGACUGCUUUUAACCAUAAGAACAUAAAAAAGAGAGGGGGGGAAAAGAAAGGAGUUUGCACUGAGUAAGAGACACCUAGCAGGUCUCCUGCCUCCUAGCAGCAGCCAAGGUAACAGUCUUGCAACGGGGCAACACAGAGCUAAGUUUCUCCAGAAUAUUCCCCCGCCUUCCAGGCAGCCUGGGGAUUUCCCAAGCCAAAGGUGGUGCUGUGUCCUCAAUAAUGCUCUGUGGACUUUUCUGUUAGCACAACAAAACAAACUGAAUAACCCCUACAUGGAAAGAUAACUUCACUAAUUUGAAGGCUACAAGAAGAAAUAAAGCUGGAGGACUGGCAGUAUGACAAACUGGACUGUCCCUUGCAAGAGGAAAAGAGACAACCCUCACACCGAACUUCAAUCCAAGUUUCAGAUUAUCAGCUACCCUCAGAGAAUCAGAAUUUCACAUCAAUUUUCCCUGCUCAGUUCAUGUAAGAACAAGAUAAGAAUCCUGGAGGGAAAGGUGUUACUCAGAAGUUCAAACGUAUCAGCCAGGAGAGGAACGUUCCAUCUCCAACACUGUUAGGAGCUAGAGAUGCUGGUUCUUCAUUAGAAUAUUUCAAAAGGAGAAAAGUAUUUUUGCAGACUAAAAUAUUUGAGUUGAUGGUAACAGCUGGCAACACAUAAUGCUCUGGGCUGGUCUCUGAUGUGGUGUUUACCAUUCUGACAAUAUGCAAAAGAAAAUGAAAAACUCUCCUCCUGUUUUCCAGCUCUACAGAGUUCAACCAACUGCAGCAGUGAUUUGACAGAACCACGUUGCACUCAAGCUUUCAUAACAGAAGCUGUAAACACAUAACAUGGCACAGCUGUUUAAUGGAAGAUGAGGCUUCCUUGACUUGUUCUGAACACUGUGCUGUUGAAGAAAGAGACUACGAUUUGUGUUUGUUUUUUUUUUAAUAUUUAUUUUUCCAUC